GCUGUGAGGCAUGCUGGAGGUAUCAGAAGUGCGAAUGCUGACAUAAGUAACGAUAAAGCGGGUGAAAAGCCCGCUCGCCGGAAGACCAAGGGUUCCUGUCCAACGUUAAUCGGGGCAGGGUGAGUCGACCCCUAAGGCGAGGCCGAAAGGCGUAGUCGAUGGGAAACAGGUUAAUAUUCCUGUACUUGGUGUUACUGCGAAGGGGGGACGGAGAAGGCUAUGUUGGCCGGGCGACGGUUGUCCCGGUUUAAGCGUGUAGGCUGGUUUUCCAGGCAAAUCCGGAAAACCAAGGCUGAGGCGUGAUGACGAGGCACUACGGUGCUGAAGUGACAAAUGCCCUGCUUCCAGGAAAAGCCUCUAAGCAUCAGGUAACAUCAAAUCGUACCCCAAACCGACACAGGUGGUCAGGUAGAGAAUACCAAGGCGCUUGAGAGAACUCGGGUGAAGGAACUAGGCAAAAUGGUGCCGUAACUUCGGGAGAAGGCACGCUGAUAUGUAGGUGAAGCGACUUGCUCGUGGAGCUGAAAUCAGUCGAAGAUACCAGCUGGCUGCAACUGUUUAUUAAAAACACAGCACUGUGCAAACACGAAAGUGGACGUAUACGGUGUGACGCCUGCCCGGUGCCGGAAGGUUAAUUGAUGGGGUUAGCGGCAACGCGAAGCUCUUGAUCGAAGCCCCGGUAAACGGCGGCCGUAACUAUAACGGUCCUAAGGUAGCGAAAUUCCUUGUCGGGUAAGUUCCGACCUGCACGAAUGGCGUAAUGAUGGCCAGGCUGUCUCCACCCGAGACUCAGUGAAAUUGAACUCGCUGUGAAGAUGCAGUGUACCCGCGGCAAGACGGAAAGACCCCGUGAACCUUUACUAUAGCUUGACACUGAACAUUGAGCCUUGAUGUGUAGGAUAGGUGGGAGGCUUUGAAGUGUGGACGCCAGUCUGCAUGGAGCCGACCUUGAAAUACCACCCUUUAAUGUUUGAUGUUCUAACGUUGGCCCCUGAUCGGGGUUGCGGACAGUGUCUGGUGGGUAGUUUGACUGGGGCGGUCUCCUCCUAAAGAGUAACGGAGGAGCACGAAGGUUGGCUAAUCCUGGUCGGACAUCAGGAGGUUAGUGCAAUGGCAUAAGCCAGCUUGACUGCGAGCGUGACGGCGCGAGCAGGUGCGAAAGCAGGUCAUAGUGAUCCGGUGGUUCUGAAUGGAAGGGCCAUCGCUCAACGGAUAAAAGGUACUCCGGGGAUAACAGGCUGAUACCGCCCAAGAGUUCAUAUCGACGGCGGUGUUUGGCACCUCGAUGUCGGCUCAUCACAUCCUGGGGCUGAAGUAGGUCCCAAGGGUAUGGCUGUUCGCCAUUUAAAGUGGUACGCGAGCUGGGUUUAGAACGUCGUGAGACAGUUCGGUCCCUAUCUGCCGUGGGCGCUGGAGAACUGAGGGGGGCUGCUCCUAGUACGAGAGGACCGGAGUGGACGCAUCACUGGUGUUCGGGUUGUCAUGCCAAUGGCACUGCCCGGUAGCUAAAUGCGGAAGAGAUAAGUGCUGAAAGCAUCUAAGCACGAAACUUGCCCCGAGAUGAGUUCUCCCUGACUCCUUGAGAGUCCUGAAGGAACGUUGAAGACGACGACGUUGAUAGGCCGGGUGUGUAAGCGCAGCGAUGCGUUGAGCUAACCGGUACUAAUGAACCGUGAGGCUUAACCUU
rnacentral:rRNA from 1 species